rnacentral:snRNA from 1 species
GGAUGUGAGGGUGAUCUGGCUGUGACAUAUGUCACCCCAUUGAUUGCCAGGGUUGAUUCAGCUGAUCUGGCUGGCUAGAUGGGUAUCCCUUUCUGCGCUCCAUGUGUAUCCCUCCUGAGGCUGCAUGCUCAGUUGAAGAGGACAACCACUCCCCAUAGAGAAGGACUGGUCUUCGGUAAAGGGUAUACAAGUAGCUGCACUCCCCUGCUUGAACCUCUAAACAAGCUCUCAAGAUAAUGGUCAACCAAAGAGGGUUGCAAAGUUUGAUAUAUUUGGUGUGCUCAUAUUAUGUGAUCUAAU